ACUUAAAUUGAAGAGUUUGAUCAUGGCUCAGAUUGAACGCUGGCGGCAGGCCUAACACAUGCAAGUCGAACGGUAGCACAGAGAGCUUGCUCUCGGGUGACGAGUGGCGGACGGGUGAGUAAUGUCUGGGAAACUGCCUGAUGGAGGGGGAUAACUACUGGAAACGGUAGCUAAUACCGCAUAACGUCGCAAGACCAAAGAGGGGGACCUUCGGGCCUCUUGCCAUCAGAUGUGCCCAGAUGGGAUUAGCUAGUAGGUGGGGUAACGGCUCACCUAGGCGACGAUCCCUAGCUGGUCUGAGAGGAUGACCAGCCACACUGGAACUGAGACACGGUCCAGACUCCUACGGGAGGCAGCAGUGGGGAAUAUUGCACAAUGGGCGCAAGCCUGAUGCAGCCAUGCCGCGUGUAUGAAGAAGGCCUUCGGGUUGUAAAGUACUUUCAGCGGGGAGGAAGGUGUUGUGGUUAAUAACCACAGCAAUUGACGUUACCCGCAGAAGAAGCACCGGCUAACUCCGUGCCAGCAGCCGCGGUAAUACGGAGGGUGCAAGCGUUAAUCGGAAUUACUGGGCGUAAAGCGCACGCAGGCGGUCUGUCAAGUCGGAUGUGAAAUCCCCGGGCUCAACCUGGGAACUGCAUUCGAAACUGGCAGGCUAGAGUCUUGUAGAGGGGGGUAGAAUUCCAGGUGUAGCGGUGAAAUGCGUAGAGAUCUGGAGGAAUACCGGUGGCGAAGGCGGCCCCCUGGACAAAGACUGACGCUCAGGUGCGAAAGCGUGGGGAGCAAACAGGAUUAGAUACCCUGGUAGUCCACGCCGUAAACGAUGUCGACUUGGAGGUUGUGCCCUUGAGGCGUGGCUUCCGGAGCUAACGCGUUAAGUCGACCGCCUGGGGAGUACGGCCGCAAGGUUAAAACUCAAAUGAAUUGACGGGGGCCCGCACAAGCGGUGGAGCAUGUGGUUUAAUUCGAUGCAACGCGAAGAACCUUACCUACUCUUGACAUCCAGAGAACUUUCCAGAGAUGGAUUGGUGCCUUCGGGAACUCUGAGACAGGUGCUGCAUGGCUGUCGUCAGCUCGUGUUGUGAAAUGUUGGGUUAAGUCCCGCAACGAGCGCAACCCUUAUCCUUUGUUGCCAGCGGUCCGGCCGGGAACUCAAAGGAGACUGCCAGUGAUAAACUGGAGGAAGGUGGGGAUGACGUCAAGUCAUCAUGGCCCUUACGAGUAGGGCUACACACGUGCUACAAUGGCGCAUACAAAGAGAAGCGAACUCGCGAGAGCAAGCGGACCUCAUAAAGUGCGUCGUAGUCCGGAUUGGAGUCUGCAACUCGACUCCAUGAAGUCGGAAUCGCUAGUAAUCGUAGAUCAGAAUGCUACGGUGAAUACGUUCCCGGGCCUUGUACACACCGCCCGUCACACCAUGGGAGUGGGUUGCAAAAGAAGUAGGUAGCUUAACCUUCGGGAGGGCGCUUACCACUUUGUGAUUCAUGACUGGGGUGAAGUCGUAACAAGGUAACCGUAGGGGAACCUGCGGUUGGAUCACCUCCUUACCUUAAAGAA
rnacentral:rRNA from 1 species